UACGAAGGGGGCUAGCGUUGUUCGGAAUCACUGUGCGUAAAGCGCACGUAGGCGGAUCUUUAAGUCAGGGGUGAAAUCCCGAGGCUCAACCUCGGAACUGCCUUUGAUACUGGGGAUCUCGAGUCCGGGAGAGGUGAGUGGAACUGCGAGUGUAGAGGUGAAAUUCGUAGAUAUUCGCAAGAACACCAGUGGCGAAGGCGGCUCACUGGCCCGGAACUGACGCUGAGGUGCGAAAGCGUGGGGAGCAAACAGG
rnacentral:rRNA from 1 species